AGCAAUAUGUCAGCGGCAGACGGGUGAGUAACGCGUGGGAAUCUACCCAGCCCUAUGGAAUAACGCAUGGAAACGUGUGCUAAUACCAUAUACGCCCCACUUUAAAAUUCCAGGAAGAAUAAAAUGCCUUGGAAUUUUAUGGGGGGGAAAGAUUUAUCGGGGAUGGAUGAGCCCGCGUUGGAUUAGCUAGUUGGUGGGGUAAAGGCCUACCAAGGGGACGAUCCAUAGCUGGUCUGAGAGGAUGAUCAGCCACAUUGGGACUGAGACACGGCCCAAACUCCUACGGGAGGCAGCAGUGGGGAAUAUUGGACAAUGGGCGCAAGCCUGAUCCAGCCAUGCCGCGUGGGUGAUGAAGGCCCUAGGGUUGUAAAGCUCUUUCACCGGAGAAGAUAAUGACGGUAUCCGGAGAAGAAGCCCCGGCUAACUUCGUGCCAGCAGCCGCCGUAA
rnacentral:rRNA from 1 species